rnacentral:rRNA from 1 species
UACGUAGGGGGCUAGCGUUGUCCGGAUUUAUUGGGCGUAAAGAGCGUGUAGGCGGCCAGGUAGGUCUGGUGUGAAAACUCGAGGCUUAACCUCGAGAUGUCAUCGGAAACCAUCUGGCUAGAGUCCGGAAGAGGCGAGUGGAACUCCUGGUGUAGCGGUGGAAUGCGCAGAUAUCAGGAAGAACACCAACGGCGAAGGCAGCUCGCUGGGACGGUACUGACGCUGAGACGCGAAAGCGUGGGGAGCGAACAGG